AUCAAGACUGAUAGUGAUUUUCCACUCUAUCUAGUAGGUCAGAUGAUCUUAUAGUGCAGUGUUAGAGAGAAAGAAGAUGGAAAUAUUUUCAUUUUCUCUCAGAGUCAAUAUUUCCCUAGCUGGAAAUUAAUCACUGGAAAAGAAGUUUAAGGGGAGUCUGUCAAGGUUUAUUUAGGCUUCAAAAUAACUUUUUAAAACACUGUCUUUUGUUGUUGUUGCAGGUUUAGAGGUCAGAGUUUCCCUCCACAGCAUUCUUCUCUUGACAAAUGAUCUUUGCAGCAGCUAGCCAAGUUGUUUUUUUUUUUUUAAUUUUUAUUUUAAAUUGACUUCUUGUGUGUUCUGCCAUAAGCAAAAUGUUGCAGAUACAGUGGAAAAGGUAGAACAUCCACAGUCAUCUCUAUUUAUGUAUCAUGAAUCAGACAAGAUGUCUUUCUUUUAUCUAAUUAUUUUUCUCUUAAAGGAUUGCAGCAGUGAAUCUUCAUUUAGCAACCUGCCACCUGGUUAUAAAGCAACUAGAUUUUGAAUUUAGGUAAUGCCUUCUGAAGUUACUGUUAUUAACACCUGGAAGCCUACAGUAGAAUGCCUGGCUUAAUGGCAGAUGGCUAGUACCUGUGGAUGUACAGAACAUAGUCUGGCAUCUGGCAACCAGUUAUAAAUUGCAAGCCAAGCCUGAAAGAAUAUAUCUGAAGAAAGUGUGAGAAGAACUUAUCUAUCUGUGAAAUAGCGUUAAUGUCUUUUCAGUAGACCCUUUGCCCCUUCCAGACACAGAAAUCCAAGAGGAAAAACACAUACCAAACCAAUCAUCUAUCCCCAUCAGCAGCAUCUAACCUGGGUUACUCAAAUUUUGAAGUCUAUUAUACAGCUGUUUUUAGAAGCACAUGGAUCUGAAAGGAGUACCCAAAGAAAGCAUCAAAAAGAGCAUUUUCCUUCUAUAACUUCAUUCUUGAAGAUGAAUCAGAUUCCGAUUCUGCCCCACACACCAGAACCAGUGAAAAAAGAAGGGAAGGAGCAGCAUUUCAACUGCCAAGCACUGGUAUUUUCAUUCCUCUGCCAAGAAAUUCCCCUAAUGAGGAGCACAGAAAUUAAAGACAGCUCUGAAGAGCUAAAAAAUAGGUGAAUUCACUUUAAAUAUUUGAUGAAGGUUGUGGUUGACUGGGACUUCUCUCUCCAGUCUAGUUCAUCCUGCUCAGGAAAAACGUGUUUGUUGUGCUCCCUCUGACUACCACUACCAAGAAAGUGAAAAUAAAAAAGGCAACAGCAUCCUCA
rnacentral:lncRNA from 1 species